rnacentral:tRNA from 1 species
ACAGAAAUAGUUUAGUGGUAAAACAAUGGUCUCCAAAACCAUAAAGGAAAGUUCAAAUCUUUCUUUCUGUG